rnacentral:other from 3 species
ACCGGCCUGCAAAGCAGGUGUGGUGGUCAACGCUGGUUGAACCUACAUUCAUUGAACAGGGAGCUCGACUCGUAUUUUGGCUCGGUGUGCAGUGUCCGCCAGUCCGGAAUGCCUAAAGAGCUACGGAGAGUUCCCACCGUCUUAGGACGGGUUCACCGGCGAACCCUGCACGGCCCCGCGGGCCGGUU